GAUGAACGCUAGCUGCAGGCUUAACACAUGCAAGUCGCGGGGCAGCAUGGGGGUUGCUUGCAACCCCUGAUGGCGACCGGCGCACGGGUGAGGAACGCGUAUCCAACCUGCCCUUCACCACGGGAUAACCCGGCGAAAGUCGGACUAAUACCGAAUGUUGUCCAUGGACGGCAUCCGAGAUGGUCGGAAGGCUUGGGGGUGAAGGCGCGGGGAUGCGUCUGAUUAGUUGGACGGCGGGGUAACGGCCCACCGUGGCUACGAUCGGGAGGGGUGGGGAGGGGAAGGUCCCCCACACGGGAACUGAGACCCGGACCAGACUGCUACGGGACGCAGCAGUGAGGAAGACUGGUCAAUGGACGUAAGCCUGAACCAGCCAAGUAGGGUGCAGGAUGACGGCCCUAUGGGUUGUAAACUGCUUUUAUGCGAGGAUAAAGUGGCCCACGUGUGCGCUUUUGCAGGUACCGCAUGAAUAAGGACCGGCUAAUUCCGUG
rnacentral:rRNA from 1 species